rnacentral:rRNA from 1 species
GAUGAACGCUGGCGGCGUGCUUAACACAUGCAAGUCGAACGAAGCACUUUAUUUGAUUUCCUUCGGGACUGAUUAUUUUGUGACUGAGUGGCGGACGGGUGAGUAACGCGUGGGUAACCUGCCUUGUACAGGGGGAUAACAGUUGGAAACGGCUGCUAAUACCGCAUAAGCGCACAGCAUCGCAUGAUGCAGUGUGAAAAACUCCGGUGGUAUAAGAUGGACCCGCGUUGGAUUAGCUAGUUGGUGAGGUAACGGCCCACCAAGGCGACGAUCCAUAGCCGACCUGAGAGGGUGACCGGCAACAUUGGGACUGAGACACGGCCCAAACUCCUACGGGAGGCAGCAGUGGGGAAUAUUGCACAAUGGGCGAAAGCCUGAUGCAGCGACGCCGCGUGAGCGAAGAAGUAUUUCGGUAUGUAAAGCUCUAUCAGCAGGGAAGAUAAUGACGGUACCUGACUAAGAAGCACCGGCUAAAUACGU